rnacentral:lncRNA from 1 species
AAACUGGGAUGGGUGAUGCUUACUCCUUGACUUCACCAGAAGCAUUGGGUCCAACCUUGGGAUUCAGCCCUCACCAUCCAUCAGUCUUCCCUGUGGUCUCAUUUUUGCCACCCCCUCCCACUACUUUUCAGCCCAGUGGAUCUUAGGAGCACAGUGACACUGCAUUAGCAGCCUUGUGCUGCGUGCUAAACGCCAGCAAAUUCACAGGCAAAUGCAGGCAAUCAUUCUGGGCAGCUUAAUCUUUGGCUGCUUAAAUUAAGAUCUUUUACAAGGGCUUUAUUUUCAAGGAAAGAGUGAUCAGCUUGUCCUGAAAAUGAGAUUCUUUUUAAGUGUUUCAUCUGCAUUACCCGCUUUUGACAAGUUUGACAUGAUGGAAGUCCUGUUUGAGCACGUACUUAGAGGGCUUGGUGCAAAUUCUGGGCAGGGUUCUCAGGGAAUGGAUCUCUGAGUUAUUCCACAGCCAAAUAAUGAUGGUCACCCACCUCUUUUGCUUUCUACAAGCAAAUAAAACCUAAAUCUGUUUUACGUUCUCAUCCCUGUGUUUUUCUUUGCAAUUAACUGCUGCUUUUUUUUUAUGGCUGCCUCUAAUGCCUCGGUGUAAAUUUCAUCGCUCUGAAGCAGAAGUGAUGGUUUUGCACGUAUCCCUUGGAGCCACCAGCCAAGAAACUGUCAGGUGGGGUGAGCCCGUGGCACUUGCUUGGGACUUGUUAACCAUGAAAGCAAUUGCAUCCUAUUUUAUCAAGGGAGAGAAAGUGUUCUGUGCAAGGAGUGGAAGAGAGCUAUCAGCAGCAGUGCCUUUCCCAGCACACCGCCAUCGGCCCGGUGAUGGAUGGAGCUCCUCCCGUGUCCCAGCAGGCAUGACAAUAACUGUCACCAACUGCAAGUAAAACUGAAGCAAUUAAUACUGAGGGCACAGCCAUCCUUCACUCACUCUCGUGCAGUUGGCUCCCCUGUAAACAGUAAGAAUUUUAAUUUCUUGCUUGGCUUAGGUUGGGCUUGGUUGUACGUAAGAUAAUCCUAGUGCAGAGCUGCAGGACCUCCUUGGGACAAAGCUUAACCACUGGGACACCCAGCCCUUAAGGGGAAGCUGGAGGCUUCUCCUGAGCUAUUCCUGCAACAAGCUGAAAACGUUGGUGUUAUUUAUGAUGUCUAGAUGGGGCGUGGAACUUCAUUUAUUGUCAUGCAAAAAAUACGCAUCAACAGGCUCGAUGCAAAUCCCCAGCACUCCAAUAGCUGCUCGAGGACCAGUGCACUUCAGCAAGCCUAAUCCAAAGGGGAACACGCUGUGAGGGAAGGGGACUGCAGCUUAGGAGCAAAGCUGGGAUAGGUGAGAUCAACCUGGAGCAAAAAGAACAGCGAGAGCCGUGCUGCCUGCACAAGGCUGGAUCCCUCUCCCCACCUAUUGUGUCGAGAACUAGAAGUCUAUCACCUCAGCCUAAUGGAGCAUCAUCAGCUCACCUCAAUGAGGCACUUAAUCGAAAGAGCAUUUAUACCACUUGGAUUGCCAGCCGCACUUUAUGACAGCUCUUUGCACAAGAGAUGUCAUUGUGCAUUUACUUCUUUGUUAGACUAGAUUGGAGUUAUCAGCGGUUGAGUAAACCCUGCCAUUCGCAGGAACACCCUGCAUACGUUUGCAGGACAGAGAGGAACAGAAGAGGAAAAAGGACGGGCUGAUAGAGGCAGGCGUGACUUGAACAACAAGGAGGAAAACAACAAAGCGCGACAAGAUUUUGAGGCGUACCGUCAGCUGAUGGCAACGCUCAGGGUGUGAAAAAUAAGUAAUUGACAGCAGUUAGCAUGCAGGACAGAGCAGAGUUCUUAACGCAGUGAGAUUUUCUGUGCAGCUCUCUGAUUUCGGUCCUUGUUCCUGCCCGUCGCUCAGGUAAC